GUUUUAAUAGUUUAAAAAAAUAUUGGUCUUGUAAACCAAAGUUAAGAUAAUUCUUUUAAAACA
rnacentral:tRNA from 1 species